UGCCAGCCGCCGCGGUAAUACGGAGGGGGUUAGCGUUGUUCGGAAUUACUGGGCGUAAAGCGUACGUAGGCGGAUUAAUAAGUUAGAGGUGAAAUAUCUUAGCUUAACUAAGAAAGUGCAUUCAAAACUGUUAGAAUAGAGUUUGAGAGAGGAACGCAGAAUUCAUGGUGGAGCGGUGACAUGCGUAGAUAUCAUGAGGAAAGUCAAAUGCGAAGGCAGCCUUCUGGCUCAAAACUGACGCUGAGGUACGAAAGCGUGGGGAGCGAACAGGAUUAGAUA
rnacentral:rRNA from 1 species